GGUUAACUGUUGUUGGGUGCCUUAGGCAUCGAUGCUGCAGGCGGAAGUCAUCUGCUGUAGAAGCUCGGGCGGGAACUUUCUAUUGGAGAAGUCCAGCAGGAGUCCGAUUGCUAGAGAAGUUUGUCUGGAAUUUAUCUGAUGUAGAAGCUUGUCUGAAGACUGUCUGCUGGAGAGGUCCGGUUUCAUAAGAAAUCUAGCAGAAGGUUGAUCGAUAGU
rnacentral:lncRNA from 1 species